GAGUUUGAUCAUGGCUCAGGACAAACGCUGGCGGCAUGCCUAACACAUGCAAGUCGAACGGACAAGUUAGUGGAAGUUUUUCGGAAUGGAAGCUAAUGCGUUAGUGGCGGAUGGGUGAGUAACGCGUGGAUAACCUGCCUCUAAAUGGGGAAUAACUACGAGAAAUCGUAGCUAAUACCGCAUAAUAUCUCUUUAUUGCAUGAUAGAGAGAGGAAAGACGGCCUUAGAGCUGUCGUUUAGAGAUGGAUCCGCGUCUGAUUAGCUAGUUGGUGAGGUAAGGGCUCACCAAGGCGACGAUCAGUAGCCGGCCUGAGAGGGUGAACGGCCACAUUGGGACUGAGACACGGCCCAAACUCCUACGGGAGGCAGCAGUGGGGAAUCUUCCGCAAUGGGCGCAAGCCUGACGGAGCAAUGCCGCGUGAGUGAAGAAGGCCUUCGGGUUGUAAAACUCUGUCCUUAUCGAAGAGAGAGAAGAGUAGUAACUGACUUUUCUAGGACGG
rnacentral:rRNA from 1 species